rnacentral:rRNA from 1 species
GACGAACGCUGGCGGCGUGCUUAACACAUGCAAGUCGAACGGAAAGGCCCUGCUUUUGUGGGGUGCUCGAGUGGCGAACGGGUGAGUAACACGUGAGUAACCUGCCCUUGACUUUGGGAUAACUUCAGGAAACUGGGGCUAAUACCGGAUAGGAGCUCCUGCUGCAUGGAGGGGGUUGGAAAGUUUCGGCGGUUGGGGAUGGACUCGCGGCUGAUCAGCUUGUUGGUGGGGUAGUGGCUUACCAAGGCUUUGACGGGUAGCCGGCCUGAGAGGGUGACCGGGCACAUUGGGACUGAGAUACGGCCCAGACUCCUACGGGGGGCAGCAGGGGGGAAUAUUGCACAAUGGGCGGAAGCCUGAUGCAGCAACGCCGCGUGCGGGAUGACGGCCUUCGGGUUGUAAACCGCUUUCGCCUGUGACGAAGCGUGAGUGACGGUAAUGGGUAAAGAAGCACCGGCUAACUACGUG